rnacentral:rRNA from 1 species
UACGGAAGGCAGCAGUGGGGAAUAUUGCACAAUGGGCGCAAGCCUGAUGCAGCCAUGCCGCGUGUAUGAAGAAGGCCUUCGGGUUGUAAAGUACUUUCAGUCGUGAGGAAGGUGUUAAGGUUAAUAACCUUAGCAAUUGACGUUAGCGACAGAAGAAGCACCGGCUAACUCCGUGCCAGCAGCCGCGGUAAUACGGAGGGUGCGAGCGUUAAUCGGAAUUACUGGGCGUAAAGGGCACGCAGGCGGUUAAUUAAGUUGGAUGUGAAAUCCCCGGGCUUAACCUGGGAAUGGCAUUCAAGACUGGUUAGCUAGAGUCUUGUAGAGGGGGUAGAAUUCCAUGUGUAGCGGUGAAAUGCGUAGAGAUGUGGAGGAAUACCGGGUGGCGAAAGGCGGCCCCUGGGACAAAGACUGACGCUCAUGUGCGAAAAGCUGGGGGAGCAAAACAGGGAUUAGAUACC